rnacentral:lncRNA from 1 species
AUGGACAAAGGCUCUACGGUUGUCCUGGAGGUGACAGUGGACACUGCAGGACACCAGGACACACAGGCCCUCCUGCACUGUCACGCUCUUUGGAACUUCCAGCCAGUAUUUCCCAACCUGAGCCAGGGACCCUGCAGAGAAAUGAGGUCAGGGCUGGUGCCGUGGCUCACUAGGCUAAUCCUCCGCCUUGCAGCGCCGGCACACUGGGUUCUAGUCCCGGUCGGGGCGCCGGAUUCUGUCCUGGUUGCCCCUCUUCCAGGCCAGCUCUCUGCUGUGGCCAGGGAGGGCAGUGGAGGAUGGCCCAAGUGCUUGGGCCCUGCACCCCAUGGGAGACCAGGAGAAGCACCUGGCUCCUGCCUUCGGAUCAGUGCUGUGCGCCAGUUGCGACGGCCAUUGGAGGGUGAACCAACAGCAAAGGAAGACCUUUCUCUCUGUCUCUCUCUGCCUAAAAGAAAGAAAGAAAGAAAGAAAGAAAGAAAGAAAGAAAGGAAGGAAGGAAGGAAGGAAGGAAGGAAGGAAGGAAGGAAGGAAGGAAGGAAGAAAGAAAGAAAGAAAGAAAGAAAGAAAGUCAGCCCAGCCCAAUGGCCCCACGCCCCACAGGCACUCACCUGCCCACAGCAGGGUGAGCAGCAGCGGCAGCAUUUCCAGGGUGGAGAGAUCUGGGAUCUUAAUUCACACCAAGAGGAAGCCCCACAGGAGCCCCUGGGGUGGGGUCAGAAAAGUGGCCCCAGAAGAGGAACUGUCCCCCAUGCGCAGCCGGAGCUGUCACAGCCCUUAGAAAACAAACACUUCUUUACAGAAGGGCCCCCAGCGGGGACCACACACGACAGGGGGGCACCUGCCCUGCCGCUCCUGGCCCCUGCCUGUGGGCUUUCCCUCCCACACCACCGUCCACACCAGAAGCAGGUCCCACCUGGCCGUCUACAGCUUCUAGAUGCCCACGAGGGCCAGCUCCGGCAGGAUGGGCUCGAGAGGAGCCAGCAGAGGAAUGGGGGCAGGGGCCCCCGGAUGAGGGAGGUUGGAAUGAGUGAAUGCAGCAACCACCCCACCUCCUGGGGUCCAAGGGGAGGUUAG